rnacentral:rRNA from 1 species
UGGGGAAUAUUGGGCAAUGGGCGCAAGCCUGACCCAGCAACGCCGCGUGAGGGAAGAAGGCUUUCGGGUUGUAAACCUCUGUCCUUGGUGACGAAAAAAAUGACGGUAGCCAAGGAGGAAGCACCGGCUAACUACGUGCCAGCAGCCGCGGUAAUACGUAAGGGGCGAGCGUUGUCCGGAAUUACUGGGCGUAAAGGGUGCGUAGGUGGCCUUGUAAGUUGGAUGUGAAAUCCCCGAGCUUAACUUUGGUGGUGCAUCUAAUACUGGAGGGCUAGAGUGCAGGAGAGGAAAGCGGAAUUCCUAGUGUAGCGGUGAAAUGCGUAGAUAUUAGGAGGAACACCAGUGGCGAAGGCGGCUUUCUGGACUGUAACUGACACUGAGGCACGAAAGCGUGGGGAGCAAACA